rnacentral:rRNA from 1 species
UACGGAGGGGGCUAGCGUUGUUCGGAAUUACUGGGCGUAAAGCGCGUGUAGGCGGCUUUGCAAGUCGGGUGUGAAAGCCCUCAGCUCAACUGAGGAAGUGCGCCCGAAACUGCAGAGCUUGAGUGCCGGAGAGGGUGGCGGAAUUCCCCAAGUAGAGGUGAAAUUCGUAGAUAUUGGGAGGAACACCGGUGGCGAAGGCGGCCAUCUGGGAGGGCACUGACGCUGAGACGCGAAAGCGUGGGGAGCAAACAGG